rnacentral:rRNA from 1 species
UACGUAGGGUGCGAGCGUUGUCCGGAAUUACUGGGCGUAAAGAGCUCGUAGGCGGUUUGUCGCGUCGUCUGUGAAAUUCUGCAACUCAAUUGUAGGCGUGCAGGCGAUACGGGCAGACUUGAGUACUACAGGGGAGACUGGAAUUCCUGGUGUAGCGGUGAAAUGCGUAGAUAUCAGGAGGAACACCGGUGGCGAAGGCGGGAUCCUGGGCCAGUACUGACGCUGAGGAGCGAAAGCGUGGGGAGCAAACAGG